CCUACGGGAGGCUGCAGUGGGGAAUAUUGGACAAUGGGGGCAACCCUGAUCCAGCCAUGCCGCGUGUGUGAAGAAGGCCCUCGGGUUGUAAAGCACUUUCAGUGAGGAAGAACGCCUGGUGGUUAAUACCCAUCAGGAAAGACAUCACUCACAGAAGAAGCACCGGCUAACUCCGUGCCAGCAGCCGCGGUAAUACGGAGGGUGCGAGCGUUAAUCGGAAUUACUGGGCGUAAAGCGCGCGUAGGUGGCUUGAAAAGCCGGUUGUGAAAGCCCCGGGCUCAACCUGGGAACGGCAUCCGGAACUGUCAAGCUAGAGUGCAGGAGAGGAAGGUAGAAUUCCCGGUGUAGCGGUGAAAUGCGUAGAGAUCGGGAGGAAUACCAGUGGCGAAGGCGGCCUUCUGGACUGACACUGACACUGAGGUGCGAAAGCGUGGGUAGCAAACAGGAUUAGAUACCCGUGUAGUC
rnacentral:rRNA from 1 species